UAUAUGGACUCAUAUGGAUCUUUGUACCCAUUUUGACCCUUAUAUUGGGAAUUACAAUAGGGGUACUAGUAAUUGUGUGGUUAGAAAGAGAAAUAUCUGCAGCGAUACAACAACGUAUUGGGCCUGAAUAUGCCGGCCCCUUGGGAAUUCUUCAAGCUCUAGCAGAUGGAACUAAACUACUUUUUAAAGAAGACCUUCUCCCAUCUAGAGGAGAUGUUCGUUUGUUUAGUAUUGGACCGUCUAUAGUGGUCAUAUCAAUUCUACUAAGUUAUUUAGUAAUUCCUUUUGGGUAUCGCCUCAUUUUAGCCGAUCUCAGUAUAGGUGUUUUUUUAUGGGUCGCCAUUUCAAGUAUUGCUCCUAUUGGGCUUCUUAUGUCAGGAUACGGAUCGAAUAAUAAAUAUUCCUUUUCAGGUGGUCUACGAGCUGCUGCUCAAUCUAUUAGUUAUGAAAUACCAUUAACUCUAUGUGUGUUAUCAAUAUCUCUACGUGUGAUUCGUUGAACAUGAACUUUAUACUUCUUUCCUAGAAGUAAAGGAAAGAAGUUGAAUGUAAUGUAUUGAAUAGGUAUUUUAUUUUUUAUUCAUCAUUCGGGUCAAUGAGUUAAACCAGAUAGUUAUAUGAGUGAAACAAAACAACUUAGAAGUUUGCAGUAAGAAGAUAAAAUCUCAUUUCAUAUGUACAAGAAUAAAGUUGAAGUAAACAUAAGCAGUGUAAACUGUUUACCCCAAGAUUAAGAUUCUUUCAUUAGUCAUCAUAUCUUGGAGCGGGUGUAAAAGAUCAACUGUAUGGAGUUUUCAUUACUGUCUUGUAUUUAUUACCAUGCCGUAGAUCAAUCAAAAAUCAGUGGACGGUUAGGAACACCAAAGUGCACAAAGGAUUAGUAAUAGAGAUAAUGUAAGGUAUCAAAAAAAGAGAUAUUUCUACAAUUUAUAAAACGAAUAAAAAUAGGGACUUUAAGUUGGUUUAUAUUUAUAAAUUUAUAAAAUAUAAAUUUAUAAAAAAAAUAAAAAAAUGAAUAAAGAUAUUGAUGCAUAAAAUAAAUAAAAGAAUAGAUAAGAAGAGAUUCGUCCACCUCCCAUGGAUUUGAUUCCUUCCCCUAUAAAAAAACUUGCAAUGCCAACCCCAUUUGUAAUUCCAUCAAUUAUAUAUCUAUCAAAAAACUGAGUUAGUUCGGUUAAUCCCCUUAUACCCAUGGUAAAAACCUUAGUAUAAAAAAUAUCUAUGUAACCACGAUUAUAUGACCAAUUGUAUAUCCCAUUUUUUAUUUGGUCCAAGAGAAUCCUUUUAGGACCACCUUUUACAAAUGCAUUGAUAAAGUUCAAAUUCCGGAAAAACGAAUAAGCAGACCCAUAUAAGAUAUAUGCUAUGAAUAGUCCGGAAAUAGCUAUACUUACUGAAAAAAUUGCAUUUGUAAAAAAUUCAUACCAAUCCACAGAAUAACUCGAAUUUGGAUGGAAAAGGUUUGUGAGUGGAGUUAACCAUUUGGAUAAUAUAUCCAAAUCUAUUACUCCUUGAUCAAAAUGAAUUCCUAUUGAUCCAACAAACAAAGUAAAUAAUACCAAUAUAAGCAGAGGAAAUAGCAUAGUAUUGUCCACUUCGCGAGGGUACAUAGAAGUGUACUUUUUUUCGAAAGAAGUAUUAAAGUAUCGUAUGCAUUUUUUUAGAUUAUUAUCAAUUUUAUACAUAUCCUUUGAAAAAAAGAAGACCCUAUUAUUCAUUGUUGAUAAAGGUAAAUUUCUAUUGACUGCUUUGGCUACCUCCUUUCCCCAUAGAGAUAUUGAAUAGGACGAACUAUUUUUUGUGCUACUGUAAUCUUGAAAAUGAACGCGCAAAUGUCCAUCAAAGGUAAGUAAAUACACCCGAAACAUAUAAAAUGCAGUCAAUCCUGCUGUGAAACAAGCUAUUAUUGCGAAAAUUGGUGAAUACAACCAACUAUCAUUAAGAAUUUCAUCUUUGGACCAAAAACAAGCAAGAGGUGGAAUACCGCAAAUAGAAAGUGUACCCAAUAAAAAAGUAGUUCUUGUAAUUGGAACAUAUCUUCUUAAACCACCCAUAAGAGCCAUAUUCUGACUUUUUUCUGGCGAAUAUCCAACAAUAGGUUCCAUUGAAUGAAUAAUGGAUCCGGAUCCCAAAAACAAUAAAGCUUUAGAAUAGGCAUGGGUAAUCAAAUGGAAUAAAGCAGCUCGAUAAGAACCUAUACCUAGAGCUAACAUAAUAUAACCCAAUUGAGACAUUGUAGAAUAGGCUAAACUUCUUUUUAUAUCUCUUUGAGCAAGAGCCAAAGUAGCUCCUAGUAGUACUGUUAUUACACCUAUUAAAGAUAUGAAAUUCAUUAUGUAAGGUAUAGCUAUGAAAAUAGGAAGAAGUCGAGCUACAAGAAAAAUUCCUGCUGCUACCAUAGUAGCAGCGUGUAUAAGAGCCGAGAUGGGAGUGGGUCCUUCCAUGGCAUCGGGUAACCAUACGUGAAGGGGGAAUUGUGCGGAUUUAGCAACUGCACCAAUGAAUAAUAAAGAGGCACACAAAGUAGCAAAUAAAGAACUGACACCAUUAUUAUGGAUCAAGUUAUUAGUUAUUUCGAACAAAUCCCGAAAUUCGAAACUACCUGUUAUCCAAUAAAAACCUAAAAUUCCUAAUAAUAAACCAAAAUCCCCUACACGGUUAGUUACAAAAGCUUUUUGACAAGCACUUGCUGCAGUCGGUCGUGUGAACCAAAAUCCUAUUAAUAAAUAGGAACACAUCCCCACCAGUUCCCAAAAAAUAUAAAUUUGUAUCAAAUUGGAACUGGUAACUAAUCCCAACAUGGAAGCAUUGAAAAAACUCAUAUAAGCAAAAAAUCUCAGAUAUCCUUGAUCAUGAGACAUAUAAUUGUCACUAUAAAUAAGAACCAAGAUUCCAACAGUAGUAAUUAGUAUUGACAUAAUAGAACUAAGUGGGUCGAUCAAAUAUCCGAACUCUAAGGAAAAAUCAUUAUUGAUGGUCCAAGACCAUAGAUAUUGAUAGAUAGAACUUCCAUGUAUUUGUUGAAUAGAUAAAUUGGCUGAAAACCCCAUAACUAUACUUAACAGUAAAACACUAGGAAAAGCCCAUAUACGACGAAUAUUUUUUGUUGCUGUCGGAAUCAGUAGAAGUCCAAAUCCUAUUGACACAGUAACUGGAAGUGGAAGAAAAGGUAUUAUCCAUGCAUAUUGAUAUGUAUGUUCCAUAAGAAAACAAAAUGAAAUCUUUAAUAAUUCUACUAUUCUAGUCUAGUCUUAGUAGAAUAUUCUAUUCUGGUAAUUUAUAGCCAUAUUAUAUAGUAUAAUAAGAAAAAAGAGUUAUACCAAAAGGAGUACUUGAUUCUAAUUAUGUUUUAAUAAAAUUAUAUGUUUUAAUAGGUUUAAAAUAUAUUUUCAAACAGGUUUUAAACAUAUUCGAAAAUGCUUUUUUUAAAACUAUUCUACCAGGGAAUAAGUAUAGAUAAUGACUAAAAGGAACAAUCUAUUUUGAACAAAACAAUACAUGUCUUUCACAUACAACGAUAAAAACUGGUAACCCUUUUUGAAUGGCAGUUCCCAAAAAGCGUACUUCUAUGUCAAAAAAACGUAUUCGUAAAAAUAUUUGGAAAAAAAAAGGAUUUUUAGCUGCAGUAAAGGCUUUUUCCUUAGCGAAAUCGGUUUCCACCGGACGUUCAAAAAGUUUUUUUGUGCAACAAACAAAUAAUAAAGUCUUGGAAUAAUCGGAAUUGACAUACCCGAAGAACUUCGAAUUUUUUAAGAUGAACGAUUCACAUUAAUUAAUGUAUUGAACUCCUCAAUAUCAAUAUGAGUUAGAACUAGCUGUUGUAGUAUGUAGAUGUGGUAUGUAGAAUAAAGGUAUGUAUAUCGAAUUCUGAAUAUUUUUUCUAUCUACUUUUUUCACAAUAGAAAAAUAUUUUUCUAUUGUGAAAAGUAGAGUAUGAUUACGAUAGAAAUGAAAAUUCUUUUGUUUCUUAUAUGCCUAACAAAAACCUAAUUAGUUUGGUAAAUCUUACCAUUAUGCAUUAUAUAUAUAUAAUGAAGAGACCAUUAUAUAUAAUAUGAAGAGUAUUAAUACUCUAAUGAUACUAAGGAAUGAUACUAAGGUGUCGAAAUCGUUAGAAAAUUUCAAAUUCUUUUGAUUUAGUGAUGAAAUUGUUAUACAUAUGAAAUCCUGGUUAUUUAAUCUUCUUCAUUGAAAAAAAAAAUAUUUUUUUUUUCAUUUUGUUUGAAUCUAUGAAAUCAAAUCGGAUAAAUAAAAAACGAAUCAAAAAAUAGAAAAUGAACAAUUCUUAGUUCUAUACCUCGACAGACAACAAAACUAUUGAGUUCUAACUGUUUUGGAAGAACUUAGUUUCUAGUACGCGAAAGUUUAUUAUUAAAACUAAACUUACUAAAACUAAACUUACUUUAUUAUUAAAACUAAACUUACAAUGAUCCCAACUAAAGAUUCUUUUUUUGAAUAGAGAUUCAAAUAGGAAUUUAAAUGAAUUUUGAUUUAUCGAUUCUAAUGUUUACUAAACUAUAUUGAAUCCUUGAUUCUCGACGAUUCAACAUGAAUUGACUAUUAUUAUUUCAAGUAAGCCGCCAUGGUGAAAUUGGUAGACACGCUGCUCUUAGGAAGCAGUGCUAGAGCAUCUCGGUUCGAGUCCGAGUGGCGGCAUCCUUGAAAUCCUAGAAAAUAAAUCCUCUAAAAGAGACACAAUGGAUCCUAUAAUGUAUUCAAUUCUCGAUUUAAAUUCUCUAAUGGGACCCCUUUUUAUGAUAUUUACAACUUUAGAACAUAUAUUAACUCAUAUCUCUUUUUCGAUAAUUUCAAUUGUGAUUACGAUUCAUUUAAUGAUCUUAUUAGUCCGCGAAAUCGUAGGAUUGCGUGAUUCAUUGGAAAAAGGGAUGAUAGCCACUUUUUUCUCUAUAACAGGAUUAUUAGUUUCUCGUUGGAUUUCUUCAGGACAUUUUCCGUUAAGUAAUUUAUACGAGUCAUUAAUCUUCCUUUCGUGCAGUUUCUCCAUUAUUCAUAUGAUUUCCAAGAUGGGGAACCAUAAAAAUGAUUUAAGCACAAUAACCGCACCAAGUACCAUUUUUACACAAGGCUUUGCCACGUCGGGUUUUUUAACUGAAAUGCAUCAAUCCGCAAUAUUAGUACCUGCUCUACAAUCUCAGUGGUUAAUGAUGCACGUAAGUAUGAUGUUAUUAAGCUAUGCAGCUCUUUUAUGCGGAUCACUAUUAUCAGUCGCUCUUCUAGUCAUUACAUUUCGAAAAAACAUCGAUAUUUUUUGUAAAGGUAAUAAUUUCUUAAUUAAACCAUUUUUCUUUGGUGAGAUUCAAUAUUUGAAUGAAAAAAGAAGUGUUUUUAAAAACACUUCUUUUCUUUCAUUUCGAAAUUAUUAUAAAUAUCAAUUGACUCAACGUUUGGAUUAUUGGAGUUAUCGUGUCAUUAGUUUAGGAUUUACCUUUUUAACCAUAGGCAUUCUUUGUGGAGCAGUAUGGGCUAAUGAGGCAUGGGGAUCUUAUUGGAAUUGGGACCCCAAAGAAACUUGGGCUUUUAUUACUUGGACCAUAUUCGCGAUUUAUUUACAUACUAGAACUAGAAUACAUAUUAGAAGUAGAACAAAUCAAAGUUUGCAAAGUAUGAAUUCGGCACUUGUGGCUUCUAUAGGAUUUCUUAUAAUUUGGGUAUGUUAUUUUGGAAUCAAUCUAUUAGGAAUAGGUCUACAUAGUUAUGGUUCAUUCACAUUAACAUCUACUUGAAUAAACUACACAGAUAAAUAAUUGAAUAAACUACAUAAAGAAUACAUAAGAACAUCAUCCCAUAUAUAUAUAAAAAGCUUCUUGUUUGUGCGAGUUUUUGAGAACCGUUUGAAUCAUUCCUUAUUCAAAACGGUUCUCAAAAACUCAAAAUGCAUCUCAUUACAAUUCUAAUUCACUUUAUUCUUUUGCAUUGUACAGCGAACGAUUUUAAAAAUCUUAAAAUCAAAGACAAAAAUUAUAUUUCCGUAUUAUUAAUGAAAGACUAUCGAUGAAAGUAAUUAGAUAGGAUAGCUUGCACCCUGUCAACUGAUAGCGAGAGAACGAAAUCCGGAUAAAUACCAAUACCUAUUACGGGUAGAAAGAUACAGAUUGAAACAAAUAGUUCUCGUGGUCCAGAAUCCGCAAAAUUAGAGUUUGGAACAUUGAAUAGCUUGUAUCCAUAGAACAUCUGACGUAACAUAGAUAAUAAAUAAAUAGGAGUUAAUAUCAUUCCAAUUGCCAUUACAAAAGUAAUUAGCAUUUUUGGCAUUAAAAGGUAUUUUGGACUAGUAAUUAUUCCAAAAAAUACUAAUAAUUCCGCAACAAAACCACUCAUUCCUGGCAAUGCAAGAGAAGCCAUCGAAAAACUACUGAACAUGGUAAAUAGUUUUGGCAUUGGGAUCGAUACCCCCCCCAUUUCGUCGAGAUAAACAAGACGUAUUCUAUCACAACUCGUUCCUGCCAAGAAAAAAAGCGCAGCACCAAUAAAUCCAUGAGAGAGUAUUUGUAAAAUGGCACCGUUGAGUCCCAUUCCGGUUAUAGAACCAAUUCCUAUAAUUGUGAAACCCAUGUGAGAUACAGAGGAAUAGGCUAUUCUUUUUUUUAAAUUCCGUUGACCGAGAGAGGUUGAAGCUGCAUAGAUUAUUUGAAUCGUUCCCACUAUUACCAACCAGGGAGAAAAUAUAGAAUGAGCGUGGGGUAAUAAUUCCAUAUUGAUCCGAAUAAGUCCAUAUGCGCCCAUUUUUAAUAAGAUUCCAGCUAGAAGCAUACAUGUACUGUAAUGUGCUUCUCCAUGGGUAUCUGGUAACCACGUAUGUAGGGGUAUAAUCGGCGAUUUGACAGCAUAAGCAAUAAGGAAUCCAAAAUAUAAUAUUAUUUCCAAUGCCACAGGAUAUGAUUGAUUAGUUAAUUUUGAAAAAUCUAAUGUGGGUUCAUUAGGGCCAUAUAAACCCAUACCUAGAACUCCUAUUAAGAGAAAAAUGGAGCCCCCCGCAGUGUACAAAAUAAACUUUGUGGCCGAGUAGAGACGUUUCUUUCCCCCCCACAUGGAUAAAAGUAAAUAAACAGGAAUUAAUUCUAACUCCCACAGCAUGAAAAAAAGUAAAAGGUCUCUAGAAGAAAAUAAUCCUAUUUGACCGCUGUACAUUGCUAACAUGAGAAAAUAGAACAAUCGCGAA